rnacentral:rRNA from 1 species
CAGCCGCCACGGUAAUACGAAGGGUGCAAGCGUUAAUCGGAAUUACUGGGCGUAAAGCGUGCGUAGGCGGUGAGUUAAGUCUGCUGUGAAAUCCCCGGGCUCAACCUGGGAAUGGCAGUGGAUACUGGCUCGCUAGAGUGUGUCAGAGGAUGGUGGAAUUCCCGGUGUAGCGGUGAAAUGCGUAGAGAUGUGGAGGAACACCGAUGGCGAAGGCGGCCCCCUGGGCCAAUACUGACGCUCAUGCACGAAAGCGUGGGGAGCAAACAGGAUUAGAUACCCGCGUAGUCCCUGUCUCUUAUAC